GGAUGUGAGGGCAAUCUGGCUGUGAUAGCUGUCACCCCAUUGAUCACCAGGGUUGAUUUGGCUGAUCUGGCUGGUUAGGCAGGUGUCCCCUUCCUCCCUCACCACUCCAUGUGCAUCCCUCUUGAAGCUGCACACUCAGUUAAAGAGAAUGACCACCCCCAAUAGAGGAGGACCAUUCUUUGGUCAAAGGUAUACAAGUAGCUGUGCUCUCCUGCUAGAACCUCCAAACAAGCUCUCAAGGUCCAUUGUAAGAGAUGGCAGGAUAGUCAAGCUUUCAAAACUCCUGACACAUACAAAUGAGGAGCUGCAAGUGGCAGUCUGUCUUUCUUU
ensembl:misc_RNA 7SK 7SK RNA